AGAAGCCAAGCGCGCACACGGCGAUCUCGGGCCGCCCUCCGCCGGCUCCCCGCCGCUGACUGGGUGCUCACUUUAAUGCUGCGGGGAGCCCGGGAGCCCGGGGGCGCCUCGCUCCCCGUUCCCUCCCCAUCCCGUCAGGACUCUUGGCCUGGGGUCCUCCGCCCGGACCGCCCGGCUUUGUGUGGUGGCCCCGUCACCGCCACAGCCUGAGGCACGUCACAAAUCCGAGGAGCGGCCGACAGGACAGUCCUGGUCCCGGGCUCUUGGCGGAUCCGGGUCGGAUGCAACGCGCCCGCCCGCAGGGCUGCGGAUAGACCGGCCGGGGCAAGUCCCUAAGCUCUUCGGAUGUCCCCAACUCGGAGAGGGUUUAUGUUUGUUUUAACUGCCGGACUCCUCUUUCCAUCGGAAUGCCUACUCUGGGUUCUAAAAGAGGAUCUCAGCUGAUUUUCCACUUGCUGCUACUUUAUUUUGGUGUCUAAAGGCUGAUCAGAACUCCAGGGAGCGCCCGACUCCGCUCUGCUCCGCUCUAAGGCCAGCGGUGCCCAGAAGUUCAAAGGACUCUGGGCGGGGCUUGGAGGGCGGAGCCAGGACUACCCUGGCUAGAAGUGUUGGAAAAGUAACGUAACAGUUGAAGCGAGGACUCCUCUGGCCCUCUGUGGACCUCCACGAACGAUGACUUUCAUGGCAAGCUGAAGACAGGUCUAUGUGACUCCAUGACACAUGGUGUCUAUGUGACUCCAGCUCACCUCCUUGCCUCCUAAGUCGAUGAACCAGCAGACUCUUCGUUCCUUCCUGCCUGGAUGGGAGUUCCUGCACAACCUAGAAUGCUGACAGGGAUCUACCUUGUGUGACCUCUUCUCACAUUCUGUCACCCCAAAACUUUCCAACAUGGAUGUGAAAUGUAGCUUGGCCACAAAGAGAUCAGCUAUUGAAGCUACUCAGGCCAUCAGAGUGUGGUGUGGCAUGCAGGGCAGGUUGUCAUCAGUGUGAUCACACAUGGCAGGUUGUCAUCAGUGUGUUCACACAUGGCAGGAUGUCAUCAGUGUGGCACACAUGGCAGGUUGUCAUUAGUGUGGCACACAUGGCAGGUUGUCAUCAGUGUGGCACACAUGGCAGGUUGUCAUCAGUGUGGCACACAUGGCAGGUUGUCAUCAGUGUGGCACACAUGGCAGGUUGUCAUCAGUGUGGCACACAUGGCAGGUUGUCAUCAGUGUGGCACACAUGGCAGGUUGUCAUCAGUGUGAUCACACAUGGCAGGUUGUCAUCAGUGUGGCACACAUGGCAGGUUGUCAUCAGUGUGAUCACACAUGGCAGGAUGUCAUCAGUGUGGCACACAUGGCAGGUUGUCAUCAGUGUGGCACACAUGGCAGGUUGUCAUCAGUGUGUGUUCACACAUGGCAGGUUGUCAUCAGUGUGGCACACAUGGCAGGAUGUCAUCAGUGUGGCACACAUGGCAGGAUGUCAUCAGUGUGGUACACAUGGCAGGAUGUCAUCAGUGUGGCACACAUGGCAGGUUGUCAUCAGUGUGUUCACACAUGGCAGGAUGUCAUCAGUGUGUUCACACAUGGCAGGUUUCUUCCUAAUAUUUCCUUUUUCCACUCAUUGUUGCAGAUUGAACCCAAAGCUCCAUGGUUGUUUAGGCCGGAGCUGCGACUUUACAGUGGAGACUUUGCAUUCACAGAGUUCUGCAUUCCGUUUCCAGCGCUGAGAACAUCCUGCUUUGUGCUGUGAAGAAACAUCACAAUUAAAGCAAAGUGCAUGAAAGACAAUCGUUAUACACAGACUUAUUAAGCUCCCACCAGGGUAAAGAAACAGGUUUUUACCAGCAUCCCAGGAGCCUCCAGUAUAUCCCUUCCCAAACAACCUCUGCCUCUUAGAAAUAACCAUUGCAUUUAUGGUAAUUAUGACAUUGGUUUCUAAUAGCUCUAUAAAAUUGAAAAAAAAAUUAUCCCAUUUUUCAAAAAUUAUGAUUGAAAUUCAAUUUUAUAAAUAUGUUGAAUUUUUAGAGGGUCACAUGACUUCUGGUUUAAGUUUAUUAAUGUGAUGAAGUAUCUUUGCAUUACUAGUGUAAGAUAAACCUAGUUGUAUUCAUUUCUUGUGGCUGAUGUAAUAAAUUUAAAACAACAACAUA
rnacentral:lncRNA from 1 species